rnacentral:rRNA from 1 species
CAGCAGCCACGGUAAUACGGAGGGAGCUAGCGUUAUUCGGAAUUACUGGGCGUAAAGCGCACGUAGGCGGCUUUGUAAGUUAGAGGUGAAAGCCUGGAGCUCAACUCCAGAAUUGCCUUUAAGACUGCAUCGCUUGAAUCCAGGAGAGGUGAGUGGAAUUCCGAGUGUAGAGGUGAAAUUCGUAGAUAUUCGGAAGAACACCAGUGGCGAAGGCGGCUCACUGGACUGGUAUUGACGUUGAGGUGCGAAAGCGUGGGGAGCAAACAGGAUUAGAUACCCGAGUAGUCCCUGUCUCUUAUAC